AACUUUUGCUUGAUUUUAAUGGCUGUGACCCCAUAAAACAUCACCAAUCCCAUGAGAAACCUAGAACCAUGCUUUCCCCAAGGGACCCACUUUUCCUCUCUCAUCAAUUCCUUGCUCAAGGGCAAAGGAUCCGUGUUUCUUUAUGAACAAGAAAAACUGCAUCUCACCGUUGUAGAUUGCCCUUGCUCUUUGUACGGCCUAUUUCCAUCUCUUAGGGACCUGCCACUGCCUUUAAAAAGGAAAUUUUCGAGGCCCCCAAAAACAUGGGGUCUCUGAAAAGCUGCUAAAAAAACUGUGCAUUUCCAUGAUCAAAAAACACCCCAAAAUCUUCAUGAAAAUCUGUACUUUCCAGGUGGAAAUAUUAGCCCUCUGCUCUUUUUGGGUCAUGUAGCCUCCUUGUUUAUAGGGUCAUAGGCCUUUCACAGAUGGAGGGAUAAAGUGCCUCAAAAGAGAACUUGGGUUUUCUUCCCAAAGGCUAAUUCAGUGAGGACCUUCCUUCUGCACCUGCAAUUUCCCUGAUUGUUAGGCCCUUUAAGUAUUAAGGGUCCUUUCACUUGAAAUUUCUUGGUUUCUAUGUUCAUGACCAUUGGUUCUUUCUGGUCCUUGUUUUGUAGUGCGAGAAAUUUUUUGUUUUGUGCUGAGGGUCUCCUUAAUUUAAGGGUCUUUGCCCACAAGUUUGUUUGGGUUCAAUCCUGAGAUUUGGGGAUCCGUUGGUUUUAUUUCUAGAUUUUUGUUUGAGUUCAUUAGGGCCUGAAUUUUAUAGGAUCAUGGUGCCCCAUGUUUGUCGGGAUUCAAAUCCAAAAAGCCCACAGUUUUUAGGGUCAUUCUUCUAAAAGGCUUUUCAAUUUUACGGAGGUUUCCUUUGUUGGGUCAUUUCCUGUCAAUUCUUAGUUUGUCACUUCCAAACACGGAGGGGUUAAUUGCACCAAACCCAAUUCUUUGUAGUAAAUUUAUUGCAUUUCUUUUCUUGGUUUUAAGCAUACGAAGCCGUCAUUUUAAGGCUCAUUGCAUUAAAGAUGUAAUUGUUUUCAAGCCCACAAGGCCCUUAAUUUUCAGGGUUUCUUGGGUAGAAAUCACCUUCUUUGGAGGCUUUCAUAAUUCUGUUUUUAGGGCCACCACCCUGGAAAUUUCUUGUUUUCUGAGCUCACAAGCCCCCAACAUUUUUAAAGGAUCAUUUGCCGAUAAGUAGAUUAUGUUGCACUUUAAUAAAUAACCCUUUCUGGUCAUUACCCAACAAAGAUCUUGAUUUUCUAGCUCAUUCGCCCCCAAGUUUUCAUGGCCAUUUCCCAUUCUUUAGAAAACAUCAGUCUUCUGGGUCAAUACCUACAAAAUCUUUCCCAAUCUUGAGAGAACUUCAGUCUCUUGGAUCACUAAACGCCAACUUCCUUUCUUUGAUUCUCACAAAAACAUUAGAUUAGGAGCCAUUUCCUGCAAAUGUUCUGUUUCUUUCUCAAAAGCUCAGAAGGCCAUUGGUUUCACACGAUCAUUGCCCCUGAAAGCUUCUUCCUUCAUAGCCUCAGAGCCCUGAACGUGAACGGGUCACUGCCAUUGCAAAUUCUUUGGUUUGGAAGUGUAUAGAUUGAGUUUGGGUAUUCUAAGACUUUCUCCCUUGCUAACCCAACGAGUCAUAACCAUCAUUUCCCUGCAAAAUUUGCCACUAUUGAGAAAUGGGUUGUGUCCAUGGAAGCUGUUGCAAACAAUACGAACCUUCCUCUCAGGGUAAAGAACCCAGAGAUAGCUCAGUUUCAGAAGCCAAUGCUAGAAACCAUCAUGGUGGUGAUAGCCUUCACAUGCUUACAGGAAGCUCAGUAGAACUAGCCCAUGUCCCUUCUCACAAUUACACUCUUAGAUACUCCUUCUCAGCGCAAAGAGGCUACUACCCAGAUGCACCGGAUAAAGAAAACCAAGACAGUUUCAUUAUAGAAACCCAAAUCAAAGGUAACUCAAAUCUCCAUUUCUUUGGGGUCUUUGAUGGUCAUGGCCAUUUUGGCACAGAGUGUUCGAAUUUUGUCAAGCGUAGACUAUUUGAUCUCCUAAUUAACGACCCAAAUUUCUCUGAUGAACCUGAUGAGGCCCUAACCUCUGCAUUCUUAGCGGCUAAUUCUGAGCUUCAUAGCUUCACUGAUAUAGAUGAUAGUAUGAGUGGUACAACUGCCAUUACUGUUCUUGUUCAUGGGAACACUCUUUUUGUGGCAAAUGUGGGGGAUUCAAGGGCUGUGAUUGCACUUAAGGGUGGGAAUUCAAUCUUGGCUGAAGAUCUUUCGAAGGAUCAAACCCCAUACCGUAAGGAUGAGUGUGAAAGGGUGAAGAGUUGUGGGGCUAGAGUAUUGAGUGUUGAUCAAUUGGAGGGGUUAAAGGACCCCAAAAUUCAAGACUGGGGAAAUGAAGAGAAUGGUGAUGGGGAUCCACCGAGACUUUGGAUGCCUAAUGUGAUGUAUCCUGGAACUGCAUUUACCCGGAGUGUUGGGGAUAGCGUUGCUGAGAAGAUUGGGGUGAUUGCUGAACCUGAGAUUUUGAAGGUUCAGCUGACACCCAACCAUCUGUUCUUUGUGAUUGCAAGUGAUGGGGUUUUCGAGUUUCUCUCUAGCCAAGCAGUCAUUGAUAUGGUGGCCAAAUAUAAAGAUCCUCGCGAUGCCUGUUCUGCUAUUGUUGCAGAAUCAUACAAGUUAUGGUUAGAGCAUGAGAAUCGAACAGAUGAUAUAACGGUCAUCAUAGUGCAUGUCGAUGGCCUGUGCAGUCUUUCUUGAGAUUCACCAGUCAGUUGUAGCUGUUGGAACAAGCAUACAAAAUAUGCGGGUGGCAAAACUGGGAGAAUCUAAUCGGUCAUGUCCCAUAACAAUGUAGCACCAUCAUGUUUUAAAGAGAUAGAGCCACAUGUACUUCGAGGCAAUCCCCAAUAGCUGUCGUUCUUAAUAUGGAUAAUGGUUUACUCCCCAUAAAUUGAUGUUUGAAUGUGUGUAUUUCUCUUUUUCUUUGUGCGUGUGUGCAUGUCUGUAGAGAGAGAGAGAGCGUGUGUGUAUGACUUUAGCAUUUUAUUGAUUAAUAUCAGAUGGUGGGACAACAGGGCAUCAGAGAAAGAUGUUGGGCAUGGUUCGUAUAGCAAUCCAUGUCACCGUGAAUCUGCUUGAAGAGAAUCUCUCUUCUACUCAUGUAUGAGUUGCAGGCUUCUUGCGUUUAAACAUGGCCAGUGAGACUUGGCAUCUCCUUGAUGAAGUUCUAAGGAUCCCCUUUGCAUGUCCAAGAAUAUUUGAUGCCAUAAUGAAAUGCUAUUCCUACUAAUCCAUAUAGCUGUGGUCUCCAAAGGUUCAAUGGAGCAGCCAGAUGGAGGUGGUCCCUUGCACACUAUAAUUCAUCCCACUGUAAUUCAUUGUAAAUAUGAUUUUGGGCGACUGUGAUCUGACAAGAAUUAU